CUAUUACAGAUCUUUUUUUGUGCUGGAAACAUGGAUGUGCGUAUGAAUGCCCCAGAUCUGGGUAUCGCGCUGCUGGGUGCCUGUUUGGCAUGGGGAGCUGGUCCCUGGGCAGCAUCCUGCCCGCUGAGGCUGCCCAGAGCUUCAACCCUUGCACUCUAGGUUUUGCUGGCUCCGCGAACGAGGGGUAUAAAUCGCAGCAGGCCUCAGACCGAAUCUCUCCAGGUGGUUGUGACAACUGAACGAGAAGGUAAGCGAAAGCCACAGGCUGUUGGCAAACCACACACCCCUUUCUAGCUGUGCUACUUUUUGGCUGCAGAUCUCUUGCUGCACAACCCUUGCCAGUGCAGGAAACACACUUUGUGCAGAUGUAGGUAAGGAUGGAGGGUGCAGAGUGGGGCCUGCUAGACGUAACCCCAAGUUGCCGGGAAGCUCUUGCCCCUCUCAUCACGGCACGGUGCCUGCAUGCCUCCAUGCCGCGCGUGCAUCCCACCCCCACGUGAAAUGCCUCUGACAACACGUGAUGCCGGCACGGCUGCAUUUGCAGGAAAUCUGUUCUGCUCUCGGUGCACCUGUUCCUAACUCGAAGAUAAGCGGGAGCAUACACGCCAGUCCUGCUACAUAUCAUCCAUUAGCUUAUUGCAUGAUGGACAAGAAGGAUGUACAGCACCUCCACAUCCCUGCCGUGCAAGAUACGCAUAUGGUGCUGAUAUAAAAUGCAAUUGAUUUAACUGGCAGCACCUGACCUGCAGCUCACAGGCAAGUAACUAAAAUGAUCUAAAAGAAUCAAUAAUCUGCUCUUAGAUUGCAACUAUCAGUAUAUGAGAUUGCUAUUUCAAAAGCUCUAGUGAAUAAUUUGUAAUGGCUUCCUUUCUUUCUCUAUAACUUGAACCUCCUUCUUUCUCUUUCCUUCCUUAUAUAUAUCCCACAUAUAUACUUGUCUGAGCAUUCCUGGAGGAUGACAUGUAGGAAAAAAAAACCCGAUAUACUGAGACUUAAUUACACUGGUAUAUCUAACAGAAAAGGCCUAGAUGUUUCAAAUGUCAGUAGAUCUGAAGAUGUGUGGGCAGGAUUUACAACACUAGUAUGUUGCCACUGGUAACUGACUGCAUUUUUAACCUUCCCACUGCUGGCUAGCAGCACUGAAAGAGGAGAAGUCUAGGGGGCUUAUCACAAGAAGUAAACAAGUGUAUUAAAAAUACUAAAAACCAUUGUUGUGAAGCUGAGACAAACAAGGAGAAGGAUUGCAUAAAGGUUAGAUAAGAGCCCUUUCUUCCUAAUGGUCAGCCUACGCAGCGCCUAAUCCCUCCAGUUUGCUGACAUGCCACUGCUUCGGCUGCCAGGNNNNNNNNNNNNNNNNNNNNNNNNNNNNNNNNNNNNNNNNNNNNNNNNNNAAGAGUGAAGCUUUUACACAGAGUAUUUUACAGGCACAGAUAUCUCAGGCGGAAGAUUUUUGAUGGAGUCCCCUGUCAAAAAUUUGGCAGCAGAUUCUUGCUGCGAGUGAGAGAUUCAGAGACACCAAGCAAUCUGACAGACUAUUAGACUGUAUAAUGGAGGCAGAAAUAUAGUCUGAAGUAAGGAG
ensembl:lncRNA